rnacentral:rRNA from 1 species
AGAGUUUGAUCAUGGCUCAGGACGAACGCUGGCGGCACGCUUAACACAUGCAAGUCGAACGAGAGAAGAGGAGCUUGCUUUUCUGAUCUAGUGGCGGACGGGUGAGUAACACGUGAGCAAUCUGCCUUUCAGAGGGGGAUACCGAUUGGAAACGAUCGUUAAUACCGCAUAACAUAAUUGAACCGCAUGAUUUGAUUAUCAAAGAUUUAUCGCUGAAAGAUGAGCUCGCGUCUGAUUAGCUAGUUGGUAAGGUAACGGCUUACCAAGGCGACGAUCAGUAGCCGGACUGAGAGGUUGAUCGGCCACAUUGGGACUGAGACACGGCCCAGACUCCUACGGGAGGCAGCAGUGGGGGAUAUUGCACAAUGGAGGAAACUCUGAUGCAGCGAUGCCGCGUGAGGGAAGAAGGUUUUAGGAUUGUAAACCUCUGUCUUCAGGGACGAAAAAAGACGGUACCUGAGGAGGAAGCUCCGGCUAACUACGUGCCAGCAGCCGCGGUAAUACGUAGGGAGCGAGCGUUGUCCGGAAUUACUGGGUGUAAAGGGAGCGUAGGCGGGAUCGCAAGUCAGAUGUGAAAACUAUGGGCUUAACCCAUAAACUGCAUUUGAAACUGUGGUUCUUGAGUGAAGUAGAGGUAAGCGGAAUUCCUAGUGUAGCGGUGAAAUGCGUAGAUAUUAGGAGGAACAUCAGUGGCGAAGGCGGCUUACUGGGCUUUAACUGACGCUGAGGCUCGAAAGCGUGGGGAGCAAACAGGAUUAGAUACCCUGGUAGUCCACGCCGUAAACGAUGAUUACUAGGUGUGGGGGGACUGACCCCUUCCGUGCCGCAGCAAACGCAAUAAGUAAUCCACCUGGGGAGUACGACCGCAAGGUUGAAACUCAAAGGAAUUGACGGGGGCCCGCACAAGCAGUGGAGUAUGUGGAUUAAUUCGAAGCAACGCGAAGAACCUUACCAGGUCUUGACAUCGUAUGCAUAGCUCAGAGAUGAGUGAAAUCUCUUCGGAGACAUAUAGACAGGUGGUGCAUGGUUGUCGUCAGCUCGUGUCGUGAGAUGUUGGGUUAAGUCCCGCAACGAGCGCAACCCUUACUGUUAGUUGCUACGCAAGAGCACUCUAGCAGGACUGCCGUUGACAAAACGGAGGAAGGUGGGGAUGACGUCAAAUCAUCAUGCCCCUUAUGACCUGGGCCUCACACGUACUACAAUGGCUGUCAACAGAGGGAAGCAAAGCCGCGAGGUGGAGCGAACCCCUAAAAGCAGUCUUAGUUCGGAUUGUAGGCUGCAACCCGCCUACAUGAAGUCGGAAUUGCUAGUAAUCGCAGAUCAGCAUGCUGCGGUGAAUACGUUCCCGGGCCUUGUACACACCGCCCGUCACGCCAUGGGAGUCGGUAACACCCGAAGCCUGUAGUCUAACCGCAAGGAGGACGCAGUCGAAGGUGGGAUUGAUGACUGGGGUGAAGUCGUAACAAGGUA